rnacentral:misc_RNA from 1 species
UUUAUUCUUUAGGGAAGUUGUGAGGUUGCAUAGCAUCCCUAAGAGCAUUGAUAAUGAUAAAGAUGUUAAAUUCCUAAGUUACUUUUGGAAAGUAUUGUGGGAUAAGUUGGAUACUAAACUGCUAUUUUCUACUACAUGUCACCCACAGACUGAUGGACAAACCGAAGUAGUAAAUAGAACUUUAAUAACUCUUUUGCGUGCUGUUGUUAAAAAGAAUUUGAAAUCAUGGGAAGGAUGUAUACCAUUUGUUGAAUUUGCAUAUAACCGAAGUGUGCAUUCUUCUACUGGUUUUUCACCUUUUGAGAUUGUUUAUGGGUUUAAUCCUUUAACUCCAUUAGAUUUGAUUCCUUUGCCUGUGCAUGAGAUUUCAAGUUUAGAUUAAAAAAAGAAGGCUGAGUUGGUUAAAAGGAUCCAUGAACAAGCUAAACAGCACAUUGAGAAGAAGAAUAAGAGAUGCAGCCAAAGCUAAUAAAGGAAGAAAGCGAAUUACUUUCCAACCAGGAGAUUGGGUUUGGGUGCAUAUGAGGAAGGAAAGAUUUCCAAUUCAAAGGAAGUUUGAGCUUCAUUCUAGAGAAGAUGGUCCAUUUCAAGUGGUGGCCAAGAUUAAUGACAAUGCUUAUAAGUUGGAUCUUCCUGAUGAGUACAAUGUGAGUGUUACUUUUAAUGUUACUGAUCUUUCCCCUUUUGAUGUAGGUGAAGAUUCGAGGACGAAUCCUUUUGAAGCGGAGGGGAAUGAUGAGAAUCAAGCUACAUCCACAACAAAGGAUUUCAUCCAAGGCAAGGUUUAAGAAUAAAGAAACCUUCAAGGGGAUAUGAAGUUUAUUCUUUUGAAUAAAUUAUAGAUGUCCCUGGUGGCAAUGAGCU